GAGGAAGAAAGGUGGAGAAAGAGAGGUGGAGAUGCAGUAGAGAUGGAGGAAGAGAGGUGGAGAAAGAGAGGUGGAGAUACAGUAGAGAUGGAGGAAGAGUGGUGGAGAAAGAGAGGUGGAGAUACAAUAGAGAUGGAGGAAGAGAGGUGAAGAAAGAGAGGUGGAGAUACAGUAGAGAUGGAGGAAGAGAGGUGGAGAAAGAGAGGUGGAGAUACAGUAGAGAUGGAGGAAGAGUGGUGGAGAAAGAGAGGUGGAGAUACAAUAGAGAUGGAGGAAGAGAGGUGAAGAAAGAGAGGUGGAGAUACAGUAGAGAUGGAGGAAGAGAGGUGGAGAAAGAGAGGUGGAGAUACAGUAGAGAUGGAGGAAGAGUGGUGGAGAAAGAGAGGUGGAGAUACAGUAGAGAUGGAGAAAGAGAGGUAGAGAAAGAGAGGUGGAGAAAGAGAGGUGGAGAUACAGUAGAGAUGGAGGAAGAGAGGUGGAGAAAGAGAGGUGGAGAUACAGUAGAGAUGGAGGAAGAGUGGUGGAGAAAGAGAGGUGGAGAUACAAUAGAGAUGGAGGAAGAGAGGUGAAGAAAGAGAGGUGGAGAUACAGUAGAGAUGGAGGAAGAGAGGUGGAGAAAGAGAGGUGGAGAUACAGUAGAGAUGGAGGAAGAGUGGUGGAGAAAGAGAGGUGGAGAUACAAUAGAGAUGGAGGAAGAGAGGUGAAGAAAGAGAGGUGGAGAUACAGUAGAGAUGGAGGAAGAGAGGUGGAGAAAGAGAGGUGGAGAUACAGUAGAGAUGGAGGAAGAG